rnacentral:rRNA from 1 species
UAAUGCCUAGGAAUCUGCCUGGUAGUGGGGGACAACGUUUCGAAAGGAACGCUAAUACCGCAUACGUCCUACGGAGAAAGCAGGGACCUUCGGGCCUUGCGCUAUCAGAUGAGCCUAGGUCGGAUUAGCUAGUUGGUGAGGUAAUGGCUCACCAAGGCGACGAUCCGUAGCUGGUCUGAGAGGAUGAUCAGCCACACUGGAACUGAGACACGGUCCAGACUCCUACGGGAGGCAGCAGCC